AUACGGAGGAUCCAAGCGUUAUCCGGAAUCAUUGGGUUUAAAGGGUCCGCAGGCGGUCAAUUAAGUCAGAGGUGAAAGCCCAUCGCUCAACGAUGGAACUGCCUUUGAUACUGGUUGACUUGAGUUAUACGGAAGUAGAUAGAAUAAGUAGUGUAGCGGUGAAAUGCAUAGAUAUUACUUAGAAUACCGAUUGCGAAGGCAGUCUACUACGUAUAUACUGACGCUGAGGGACGAAAGCGUGGGGAGCGAACAGGAUUAGAAACCCUAGUAGUCC
rnacentral:rRNA from 1 species